rnacentral:rRNA from 1 species
AUUGAACGCUGGCGGCAGGCCUAACACAUGCAAGUCGAGCGGAGCGGCGGACGGGAGAGUAAUGCCUAGGAAUCUGCCUGGUAGUGGGGGAUAACGUCCGGAAACGGGCGCUAAUACCGCAUACUAUCAGAUUAGCCUAGGGCGGAUUAGUGAGUGGGUGGGGUAAAGGCCUACCAAGGCGACGAUCCGUAACUGGCUUGAGAGGAUGAUCAGUCACACUGGAACUGAGACACGGUCCAGGCUCCUACGGGAGGCAGCAGUGGGGAAUAUUGGAAAAUGGGCGCAAGCCUGAUUCAGUCGUGCCGCGUGUAUGAGGAAGGUCUUAGGAUUGUAAAGCACUUUAAGCUGGGAGGCGUUACCAUCAGAAUAAGCACCGGCUAACUUCGUGCCAGCAGCCGCGGUAAUAC